GACGAACGCUGGCGGCGUGCCUAAUACAUGCAAGUUGAGCGCUGAAGGUUGGUACUUGUACCGACUGGAUGAGCAGCGAACGGGUGAGUAACGCGUGGGGAAUCUGCCUUUGAGCGGGGGACAACAUUUGGAAACGACUGCUAAUACCGCAUAAAAACUUUAAACACAAGUUUUAAGUUUGAAAGAUGCAAUUGCAUCACUCAAAGAUGAUCCCGCGUUGUAUUAGCUAGUUGGUGAGGUAAAGGCUCACCAAGGCGAAGAUACAUAGCCGACCUGAGAGGGUGGUCGGCCACAUUGGGACUGGGGCACGGCCCAAACUCCUACGGGAGGCAGCAGUAGGGAAUCUUCGGCAAUAGACGGAAGUCUGACCGAGCAACGCCGCGUGAGUGAAGAAGGUUUUCGGAUCGUAAAACUCUGUUGGUAGAGAAGAACGUUGGUGAGAGUGGAAAGCUCAUCAAGUGACGGUAACUACCCAGAAAGGGACGGCUAACUACGUG
rnacentral:rRNA from 1 species